rnacentral:rRNA from 1 species
UACGUAGGUGGCAAGCGUUGUCCGGAAUUAUUGGGCGUAAAGAGCUCGUAGGCGGUUUGUUGCGUCGGCCGUGAAAACCUGCAGCUUAACUGUGGGCCUGCGGCCGAUACGGGCAGACUUGAGUUCGGUAGGGGAGACUGGAAUUCCUGGUGUAGCGGUGAAAUGCGCAGAUAUCAGGAGGAACACCGGUGGCGAAGGCGGGUCUCUGGGCCGAUACUGACGCUGAGGAGCGAAAGCGUGGGGAGCGGACAGG